AAGCCCUCGGGCAUAAAACGCACUGCACAGAUCGCAUCUCCCCGCACGAGCCCAUCCGGGCUGAGGGCCCCGAGGGACAAAGCCCCGUUGCAUCCCCCGCAUAGGUGGAGGCCUGCACGCCACAGGCGGCGAAACACCACUGCAGCCUCCAGACCUACCUUUUCAGGGAAGGACCCGGCCUAUAAAAGUCCCCGAGUCCGCGGUGAAAUGAUGCUGGCCCCACAACAAGCCUGGAGCAGGAGGGCAAUACCAGCAUGCUUCUGGCUGUUCACUGACACUGGCGACCACCGUUCUAAGCAGGCAGACAACGCCUCCAGAUCGGGCAUCGGUUGAUACAACACGGACUGACUCACGGAGAAGCCCAUAGCCCAUGAUCCUGCUAGUACCGUAGAGACCCUUUUGUAAUGUUUUAUUUUAUUUUAUUUUUUACUUAAUAUUUUUUCAUUCUAUUCUGUGUCCCCAUGCAAAUCACCUGGUGGACACUCAUGAUAUGCUUUACCUAAGUUUCACUUGUUUUGUGUUAACCCUAUGCUUUGGGCCUUUAUGCUCAUCGGAACAUUACCCAGCACAUUAUAAUGAUGAUCUAGAUAGAGAGCCAGCAGCCCUACUCAGGACUAGGAAUAACAGGCUUAGUUUUUUUUUGUUUGUUAGUUUUUUUUUUUGUUUUUUUUUUUCAUUACAUGUUACCUACAACAUAGACGUAUAU